rnacentral:rRNA from 1 species
UAGGGAAUAUUGGUCAAUGGGGGCAACCCUGAACCAGCCAUGCCGCGUGCAGGAAUAAGGCCCUAUGGGUCGUAAACUGCUUUUGAACGGGAAGAAAUCUAUUUACGUGUAGAUAGUUGACGGUACCGUUAGAAUAAGGAUCGGCUAACUUCGUG